rnacentral:rRNA from 1 species
CAGUAGCCGCGGGAAUACGAAGGGGGCUAGCGUUGCUCGGAAUUACUGGGCGUAAAGGGAGCGUAGGCGGAUCGUUUAGUCAGGGGUGAAAUCCCGGGGCUCAACCUCGGAACUGCCUUUGAUACUGGCGAUCUUGAGUAUGGGAGAGGUGUGUGGAACUCCGAGUGUAGAGGUGAAAUUCGUAGAUAUUCGGAAGAACACCAGUGGCGAAGGCGACACACUGGCCCAUUACUGACGCUGAGGCUCGAAAGCGUGGGGAGCAAACAGGAUUAGAUACCCGAGUAGUCCCUGUCUCUUAUAC